rnacentral:misc_RNA from 1 species
AGACUAUAUGCAUCACAUACAAGUAAUUUUAAGUAUCAUCAUGCAUUAAAUAUAAUAUGGUCAUAACAUAUAUAAUCUCAAUUAAUCAUUUAGCCCAAUUCUAUUGUUAGGAAACAAGAAGAAGGGAAACCUAAACUAAGUUUAGAGAUUUCCUACCCGAUGGAGUGCAGAAUCAAAUUUCACGUUCUGGGAGGCUAAACUUGCAAAUAUCUGUCCUCUAAUCCAUCCACACGAACUAUCGUGAUCAAGAAUUCCCAACCUUGAGUUGAACCACACUCCUAAAGUUUCCUCUUUAAUCGACCAUUAGGACAAAUGGAUGUGGCUAGUUCAACCUUUGGGAUAGCAAAUGGGUCUUGUGUAUGGUGAGUGUAAAGAACACUUUCUCUACAACCAAGAUCAAGGGUGACAACUUGUAGUGUCCUUUGAUCUUGAAGAAGAAGAUAGAGAUGAAGAAAAAGAUAAUGAAAUCAUGGUUGACAGAAGAAGACACCCCUUCUUCCUCCUCCUCUUGCAUGGUAUAGAGAAUGACCACUCC